GACCUGAAGUGAGGUGAGAGGACCGGCCGAAUUUAAGCAUAUUAAUAAGCCGAGGAAAAGAAACUAACAAGGAUUCCCCUAGUAACGGCGAGUGAAGCGGGAAGAGCUCAAGUUGAUAAGCGUUGUCACUUGUGGCAUCGCGUUGUAAACUGAUGAGCGUGGGUCAGUGGUGGACCUGGGGGCAGGUUGUUUGGAACAACGCGUUAUAAAGGGUGAGAACCCCGUACAGACCCCGGAGAUCCCCACGUACGACUACGUUUCGAAGAGUCGUGUUGUUUGGGAUUGCAGCACUAAUUGGGAGGUAAGCUUCUUCCAAAGCUAAAUAUCAGCCGGAGACCGAUAGCGAACAAGUACCGUGAGGGAAAGAUGAAAAGAACUUUGGAAAGAGAGUUAAAAAGUACCUGAAAUUGCUAAGGGGGAAGUGAUGGAAAGUAACAUUGUAGGUUCAGUUCUAGGUUCGUCUGCUAUAUCCGUCGCGUGUCUAACCGGCCGCAUGGUGGCAAAGGCGGUCUGAUUGGCUGGAUUUGCUGUGUCAGCUUGGCUUUUCUUCGUGGGAUAAUGCCUAGUCUUUUGACGACGGCGACUGCCAUGUUGGGGAGUUUUCUUUUAAAAGCUGGCGAAAUGGUUUUCAUCGACCCGUCUUGAAACACGGACCAAGGAGUCUAACAUGUGUGCGAGUGUUUGGGUGGUAAACCCUGACGCGGAAUGAAAGUGAAAGGGUGGGUUCACCACCGACCGGCCGUGGCUUGCCAUUGGUCUGAGUAAGAGCAGAUAUGUUGGGACCCGAAAGAUGGUGAACUAUGCCUGAACAGGGUGAAGCCAGGGGAAACUCUGGUGGAGGCUCGUAGCGAUACUGACGUGCAAAUCGUUCGUCUGAUUUGGGUAUAGGGGCGAAAGACUAAUCGAACCAUCUAGUAGCUGGUUUCCUCCGAAGUUUCCCUCAGGAUAGCUGGAGCUUGUAGUACAGUUUUAUCAGGUAAAGCUAAUGAUUAGAGGAUGUUGAGUUGAAACAACUUGCACCUAUUCUCAAACUUUAAAUAGGUAAGAAGCCGUUUGAUUUUAUUCUUGAUUGAUCAUCGGCCUCGAAUGGAAGCUCUUAGUGGGCCAUUUUUGGUAAGCAGAACUGGCGAUGCGGGAUGAACCGGACGUUUGGUUAAGGUGCCCAACUGGUCACUCAUCUAGAUACCAUAAAAGGUGUUGGUUGAUCUGGACAGCAGGACGGUGGUCAUGGAAGUCGAAAUCCGCUAAGGAGUGUGUUACAACUCACCUGCCGAACCAGUAGGCCCCGAAAAUGGAUGACGCUCAAGCGUGUGACUUAGACUCGACCGUGAGCGCGAACGUUGCUCUCACGGGUAGGAGGGCGUGGGUGUUGCUUCGAAGCCAUGGCGUAAGCCUCGGUGGAGCGGCGCCUAGUGCAGAUCUUGGUGGGAGUAGCGAAUAUUCAAAUGAGAACUUUGAAGACUGAAGUGGAGAAAGGUUCCAUGU
rnacentral:rRNA from 1 species